GAUGAACGCUGGCGGCGUGCUUAACACAUGCCAGUCGAACGGAAAGGCUCCUGCUUGCAGGGGUACUCGAGUGGCGAACGGGUGAGUAACACGUGGGUGAUCUGCCCUGCACUUCGGGAUAAGCCUGGGAAACUGGGUCUAAUACCGGAUAGGACGAUGGUUUGGAUGCCAUUGUGGAAAGUUUUUUCGGUGUGGGAUGAGCUCGCGGCCUAUCAGCUUGUUGGUGGGGUAAUGGCCUACCAAGGCGUCGACGGGUAGCCGGCCUGAGAGGGUGUACGGCCACAUUGGGACUGAGAUACGGCCCAGACUCCUACGGGAGGCAGCAGUGGGGAAUAUUGCACAAUGGGCGCAAGCCUGAUGCAGCGACGCCGCGUGGGGGAUGACGGCCUUCGGGUUGUAAACUCCUUUCGCUAGGGACGAAGCGCAAGUGACGGUACCUUGAGAAGAAGCACCGGCUAACUACGUG
rnacentral:rRNA from 1 species